rnacentral:rRNA from 1 species
CAUUAGUUGCUACGCAAGGGCGACUCUAAUGAGACUGCCGGUGACAAACCGGAGGAAGGUGGGGAGUGACGUCAAGUCCUCAUGGCCCUUAUGGGUAGGGCUUCACACGUCAUACAAUGGUCGGUACAGAGGGUUGCCAAGCCGCGAGGCGGAGCCAAUCCCACAAAGCCGAUCGUAGUCCGGAUUGUUCUCUGCAACUCGAGAGCAUGAAGUCGGAAUCGCUAGUAAUCGCGGAUCAGCAUGUCGCGGUGAAUACGUUCCCGGGCCUU